AGGCGGGGGGGUUGGCAAGAUGAUGUGAUAUUACUACCUUUACAAUGAACAAUGUUAAGGUGAAGUUUCAACUUAAUUAUACGUUUGGAGACUAAAGGGAUGGAGGGCCAAUUGGCAAUAGCUUAUUGGUUGCUCCAGAAGGAGGUGGUCGCUGUAGAGCUCAUGAGCUGGAAGGCUAAAACGGCAAUCUCCCUUGUCGUCUCAUCAAUUGUCACGAUUGCCUUGUCGUUUUGCCUGCUGUUAUGAGAAUUCUUGAUUUGAUUUCAUCUCAGUUGUUGCUUUGCCUAUUUAAUCCUCCUUUCUUCUUGAGAUUCAAGCAGCAUACCCUUCGAUCAUCUUCUUAAGGUUUCUUUCAUUUGAGCUUCUUCAUUUACGAUCUUCUACAGGUUCUAUUUUUUCUUUGGCUCUUAGUCUUUGCCUCUAAUCUCUUUUUGUGGUUAUGGGACACUUUUGUUAGUGAGCUAUUGAAUAUACACUGAGUGAGUGAGAUAUGUAUAUGGAAGCUGUAAUCGAUUUUUCAAUUAGUGCAGUGAGUUUUCUUCAUUAGAGCUCAACAUGGAUGUAACCCUAUUUAACAGUAUUGUAUUUUGAAUCUAAGUUUUGUGGUGGCUGAGUCUUGUGCUCGACCCAACAAAUAAGCACGGUAAGUUUGAAGUUGCAAUUUGUAGAAGAAAUGAGGAAAGAAGGUGAUCAACUUUGGAAGCAACGAAGAGGUAGAGAAAUCUUGCAUGAUGAUGUUAUUGCCCAGAGCGACAAAUUGCGAUGGUCCCAUCUGUGUUCUGCCUCUAUUCGUCCUCUAUUUCUAUUUUCUGCUUCCCCAAACAUCAGUAAUUUUCACUUUCAUUACGCAUUUCAAGUUUCAGAUUGAAACUUUGCUUUGGAAGGAUACCGCCAUAGUGGACCAAGAAGAUACACAUGAAGAAUGUAGGCUUGGUUUCCUUGUUUUCAACCAUGAGUAAACAAAAGUGCAGGUGGGGCGACCAAGUUAAUUGAGACAAAGGAAAGAGAAGAAAAGAAAAGAAAAAACUCUUUGAAUCAUCCAAAGUGGAGAAAGGAAAUUCAAAGUAAAAUUAUGCACUUCAGCUACACAAACUACUACAUUGCAGAUCCAGUAAAUAGCAGCAUACAUGUCUGAAGAGUUGAUAUAUCAAAGGACUCUCUCUUAUACAGAAAUCCUCCUUCAUAAAUCUAUGGAGUAACCUAAUAUAUUCGACGAGUACAAUAUGAUACAAAAUCUUUCUUGCUGCCACUCUUCAUAGUUGGCAGGAAGAACUCGGGAGGGAGAAGACGAGACCUCGUCCUGAUAUGUAUCACAAACAACCCUACAGAUAUUUGGCAGAUGUAAAUAUACCUAUAGAACCAGAUAUUUCGAAGAUGUAAAUAUACCUAUAGAACCAACUCUUGCUAUGCUAACUUAAGAGAAAAGCACAGCUUAGGGAGCCGAGGGAUAAAGGGCCGAGAGGAAGAGGGAGAUGAAGGGUACUUCUAAAUAGGAAAUACUGGCCAUGACCAUUAUUAAAUCUUAAGGAAAUUGGAGGAUAAUUCCUGUAAUUUGCUGCUGAAAUGCAUUUUCGGGAAAUAAUCACCUUUUUUUUUUUCAGUUUAUUCCAUCCAAGCCAGGACUAUAGUUGUCUUCCUGAUAGUGAAAGGAAGCAAAAGCUUUUCGGUUGU